rnacentral:rRNA from 1 species
CGCCUGUUUAUCAAAAACAUAGCUUUUAGCUCCCCUAUUAAAAGUAAAACCUGCCCAGUGAUUAAUAUUCAACGGCCGCGGUAUCCUAACCGUGCAAAGGUAGCAUAAUCAUUUGCCUUUUAAUUCGAGGAUAGUAUGAAAGGAACAACGAAAUUUUACCUUUAUUAAUUUUACUACUAUAAAUUAUACUUCAGGUGAAGAUACCUGAAUCAACUUGAAAGACAAGAAGACCCUAUAGAAUUUUAGUAAUUCUAGCCCCCUACCCUAUAAUUUACUUUUGUUGGGGUGACAAAAGAUUAACAAAAACAUCUUUUACUCCCUCAAACUAUAAUUUUUUCAUAUUGAUCCUACAUAUUUAGACUCUAAAAAUAAAUUACCUUAGGGAUAACAGGCUAAUCUUCUUUUAGAGUUCACAUCGACAAGAAGGUUUGGCACCUCGAUGUUGGCUUAGAGAACCUAUAUGCUGCAACAGGUAUACAAGGAAGUUUGUUCAACUAUUAAUCCUCUACGUGAUCUGAGUUCAGACCGG